rnacentral:lncRNA from 1 species
UGAGUCAUGAGUGGACAUUUUCCACACCAUCCCUUAAGAAAUAAACAGUAAGAUGAGUUACUUGUUACACUAUUUAUUAUUCCAGUAUGAAACUAAUUGGUGAGUUCAUUCUUUUAACAGCUGUCCCUAUUGUUCAAGAUUUUCCAAGGAAGAUUAAGGCCACUGGAUGGAAAAUAGAACUUAAAAAUCUAAUAGUCAUAACUUUAAAAAGCCACAAAGCAUGUCUGAAGAAUUAAGUAAAAACAAUAAAUAGGUCACUUUACAAGAGUUCAGUGAUCUUGAACUUCCUAUUCCACUUACCCACAUUAAGGUUGUGUUGGUUAGUGUCAGUGGGAAAAACUUACCCUAAAAUGUAAAAUAUUAGUAAUGAGUCAACCUCAAAGGGUUUACAAUGAGUUUGAAUAACUAUUCGGUGUUCAAAGUCUUUGGGGAUCUUAAUUAAAUGUCUACAAUCUCCUAGAACAGACCACAAACUUAGAGAGAACUGGCUUUUUUCCAGGAUUGUCUCAGCAUCUUCUUGUUCCUAUCAGAAAGUUAAUUUCUAAAUUCCCAUGGCCCUUAAAUUUAAUAUCUUUUCCAUUUAUCCUCAGUGGAUGUUCCUUUGCUGCUGACUUAGUAAAGUUGAAGGAAAAUUGAUAUAUGCAGAAGAUAUACAGUAGUAGGAAGAACGGUGAAAAUCAGAUACCAAAGAGUAAUCACAAAAGGAGAUUAUCCAAGCCAUCUAGAAUUCUUGGGGGAGAGAUGAGAGAUAGUAUGAUUGCUCUGGAGAUUUCUGGAAGAGAUCAAGUUGGAGAAAAAAAUGAAAGCAAGCAAAAAUCUGUCACUGUUGUUUGUGAUAGUAACCAUGCCACUAAGGAAAUGAUUUUAAAAGAAAUAAUGCCUAAAUCAGCGAUUUAACGCAGACUUUUGGGAAUGUGGGAAAAACUGCAAAUAGGAAUUAAGCGUGCUUACUGAGCAAGUGUCACUGGCAGGGAGGUGUGCUGCGGCCGCUGGGGCACGGGCAGGAAGCAGGGGCGGGCCGGGUCUCUGCACCCCGAGGCGCUGCGGCCUCCCUCCAGCACCCCAGCUGGCACAGGCCCAGGAUGCCAGCGGCACGCGGCAGCAGUGACUUGACGAAUCUCGGCCGCAGCACCCCGAAGAGCCCUGUAGAAAAUUGGAUUCACAAUUUACUACCACGCACGCAUGCCCCCGACACGACGGCGUUUAAUAUAAUAUAAUUAAGAAUUUAAAUUUCAGGGACGCCUGGGUGGCUCAGCGGUAGAGCGUCUGCCUGUGGCCCAGGUCGUGACUCCGGGGUCCCGGGAUCGAGUCCCCGCAUGGAGCCUGCUUCUCCCUCUGCCUGUGUCUCUGCCUCUUUCUGUGUCUCUCAUGAAUAAAAAAAUAAAAUCUUAAAAAAAAAAAAAAAAAAGGCUUUUAAAUUUCACCUCCAGAAAAAUCCUGCCCUUUAGAAUACGGAAGGCACUGUGCGUCGUUUAGAGCAGGCCUUCCGUGUUCCCUCCCUCGGGCUGCCUUGGCUGUGCUCUGCUGAGCGCUCCUUCGCUCCAGUUGGAGGAGGAGAAAUGCUGGAGAGUAGAUACAAGAAUAUUUAGAGACUCCAGUACGGACAGGGUUAGAGACCAGCCAAUCUCUAACCUAUAUUCUGCAAAAUGUAGACUUCCGUGAACACAGGUGCCUCUGUGAUCUUUAACAUGGUAGUUCAGUGCUCGUCAAACCUUCCUUUCAACCUAUCAGGCACAGCACAAAACAUGACCCGAUGAACCAGAGACUGGGAUAUGAUCUAAAACAAACUUCUGAAGCACAGUUCUUGCUUUAUAUUAAAAAAUAGCCUACCUCAUUGCAUAUGGUUUAUAUGUGGUUUUUUAUUUUGACAUAAAAUAUUGCCCUUUCCUCCAUCUUUAAAAUGCUCCAAGUUUAGUCUGUGGUUUUGAAUAACAAGGGCACAGGGACACAUACCCCCUGGACACAGUUUAAG